AUUAUUUAUUUAUUUUACCGAACUUGUACCGUCCAUUUUUUCAAAUCAAACUCAACUGGGCGCGUGAAAGCUAACCAUUCAUGGCGUCAUGCUACUUAUGUCUCAAUCCUGCUUUUUUAAAAUGUCAAGCUGCAGUUGUCUUAUUUGCUAAACAUGAUUUGAUGUCCCGGUUGUUAACAUAAAAGCAGGUGGUCAUUUAACUUCGGUAAAUAUGUCAAGUUUGGGGUUUUAGAAUAUGGGAAAUGUCGCCUGGAGUGGGGGGGUAUUUAGAGGGGAGUAUGGUGAGUUCGAACGACGAACGAACGUAAACUGGGGUGGAGGGGAACCGUUAGACCAGGGGACGACCGUCAGACUGGGGUGGGGACGGCUCGUGUUUCAGUCAGUGUUAAAUUUGUUUCAUGUUCGGUGCUCUAAUCAGGCAUGUUGAGAUUAAGUUAGGUUGAUAAACUGUUACAGUGGGUCAGAAGCUUCUUGCCUCAUAUAAAUUGUAAGUCAGUGGAUUGUACAUGCAGAUAGUUAAUUUUCCUAUUUCUGAAAUAGGAAUAAACAUCACUGAGAGUAAAUAAAAGUGACGUUUGCAAAGAAUUUCUUCCAAUUGGGACUUUUUACUGAAAUGCCUGCUCAUUAUCGGUUAUUGUAGCUUAGCUUAAAAACUAUAUAAAUAGUACUGUUCUAAAUUUGUUGUCAGAACAAAUGAUUUUAUUUAAUUGUUAAAAAAAAACACCAAAUGAUUGAUUUAAUUAUUGGAAGACUUGCAUGUGUUGGUGUUUAUAUUUCCUUCUCCUUAUAUGGUUAUUUUGUUGUCUCUCCUCAACAGCUGCAUCCAGACACUCCUGAACUUUUCCUGGCAAGCAACUAGGCAUCUUUAUAAUAGAGUUUUUCUGGGCUCAAACCCUGAACGAGGUCGACUGACACGUCGCCAACGAAGGUGAAGAAGCAGCUUUGCCUUCCAACCAAAUGGCUCAAGUCCCUUAAUGAACUGAAUGACUGGGAAUCCAUGGAAAAUUUGAGCCUUUUGAAGUUUAAAUGUGAUUGAUCAUCUCAUCAAACCUGGUGCACCAAGAACCUUUGCGAAGCACAAGAACUGGUCAGAACAUUUCAAGCUCUUGGUAACUGGACCUAAGAGUUGGAUUAACCUUUUUUUGCAGAACAUAAACAUAAAAUGGACUGUUUUGUUAUGUUCACAGCGACUAGAGGUAAUGAGAGCACACACUCAUGAAUCCAGUGUCUUCCACUGUUGUUGGCAUUAGGCUGUGUUUAUGUAGCAUUUGAUUUUUAACAAAAUAUUUAUACCUGUAUUUCAUAAAAAAUAGUGGUUGACUUUCGGCAUUUAUUUUGAAGUAUGUUGGUCCUGUUUACAACUAUGAUUUUCAUGUUCCAAAGCAAUUUUUUGUAUGUUCCAUCUGAUAGUAAUAACCUAACAAAAUUGUUUAUUUGACUUCAAAGA